GGAAGUGUGGCCGAGCGGUUGAAGGCACCGGUCUUGAAAACCGGCGACCCGAAAGGGUUCCAGAGUUCGAAUCUCUGCGCUUCCCGACCA
rnacentral:tRNA from 1 species